CCGGUCGGACCGCCGAAUCCUGCCGCCGUCCGGAACCCUUCACCCGAAGCACGUGGCAGGAGCGGGGGACCCAGGUAGUCCGCCGGACGGGAAACCGUCCGGCUCGGGGUGAAGUCGCGCCGUGCGCGACCGGGCACCUCCCGCCCGAACCCGACAGCUCACCUCGCAGGCGCCGGAGAGGAAAC
rnacentral:sRNA from 2 species